rnacentral:rRNA from 1 species
AGAUUGAACGCUGGCGGCAUGCCUAACACAUGCAAGUCGAACGGGAGUAGCAAUACUCUAGUGGCGGACGGGUGAGGAAUACGUAGGAAUUUGCCCUUAAGUGGGGGAUAACCCGGGGAAACCCGGAUUAAUACCGCAUGACCUCGAAAGAGCAAAGUGGGGGAUCGCAAGACCUCACGCUUUUGGAGAAGCCUACGUCGGAUUAGCUAGUUGGUGAGGUAAUGGCUCACCAAGGCGACGAUCCGUAACUGGUCUGAGAGGAUGAUCAGUCACACCGGAACUGAGACACGGUCCGGACUCCUACGGGAGGCAGCAGUGGGGAAUAGUUGGACAAGUGGGCGCAACGCCGUAGAUCCAGCAAUCGCCGCGUGUGUGAAGA